AAUUUGACAUACAGGUAUAUGAUAUGAAUCUGGAUAUCAGGGGUUUAAGCUAAAACUCGUGUAGGUUUAUCUAUUUUACGUUUGUAAUGUUGGUUGGAUCAAUAUAGACAUUAUGCUAACCAAAUGGUUAGGAUCCUUUUACACUAAUUCAUAUGCAAAUGUUUAGGGAAAGGCAACCAAAUACAUGGCGCACAGUUGGUGAUCAGUAAUGGAAACACUAGUAGAAAACCUAUACACAACAUAGAACUGCUUAAUCUCAUCUUCCUUCUAGUUUUAGCUCUGGUGCAUCCAUCACAUGAAAAGGUGGACAGGCAGCCAAAUACAUUUGCACCUGAAGAUUUUCCUUCUCAUAUUUUUUUACACAAAUACCAACAGCAGUUGGCAUUUAGAGGUACCUUAUUAGCAGCAGCAAUAUGCUAUCCUUCUCUUGAGCUAGUUCCAGGUAGGCUGAUGCUCUGGUUUUUCAUUUGGUUUGUUCUUUGCUGGCCUUUCAGGUGUAUCCCCUAAGUAAGUCCCAUCUUGCUGAUGCACUUGAGUAUUCUUACCAUUUGGUAUGAAGGGCUCCUAAAAGGCAUGUUAGAUAUUCACAAUUAUUCAACAUUCAAAAUACAUGCAUGCAUAUACAUCUGUAUGUGGGGUCUGGCUGCAGGCAUUUUGCUUGUGCAUGCACAUAAGCACAUGUUCUAGCAUGAGCUUGAUGCAUUCAGUGCUGCAGAUAAAAAAGACAACGAUAGUUCUUCUGUUAUUAAGCUAGGUGAAGAUUUAAAUAUUUCAGGGUCACAUUAAAGGUUUAUAGAUAGCAUAUUGUAAUUAUAUAACUUCGUCAUAUCAGCAUUCUAUAGUUUCUUGUGUGUGCGCUUGCAUUGUUUGCGUUUUACUUUUAGUUAUCAUCUACAAUUUCUCCUCUCCCCUCCACCCCUCUUUGUACUGAUUUCA
rnacentral:lncRNA from 1 species